UACGGGGGGGGCAAGCGUUGUUCGGAAUUACUGGGCGUAAAGGGCGCGUAGGCGGCCUGCUAAGUCGGAUGUGAAAUCCCUCGGCUCAACCGAGGAACUGCAUCCGAUACUGGCGGGCUUGAAUCCGGGAGAGGGAUGUGGAAUUCCAGGUGUAGCGGUGAAAUGCGUAGAUAUCUGGAGGAACACCGGUGGCGAAGGCGGCAUCCUGGACCAACAUUGACGCUGAGGAGCGAAAGCCAGGGGAGCAAACGGG
rnacentral:rRNA from 1 species